rnacentral:rRNA from 1 species
CCCUUAGAUGUUCUGGGCCGCACGCGCGCUACACUGACGAUGGCAACGAGUUUUUCCUUCGCCGAAAGGUGUGGGUAAUCUUUUGAAACAUCGUCGUGCUGGGGAUAGAUCAUUGCAAUUUUUGAUCUUGAACGAGGAAUUCCUAGUAAGCGCGAGUCAUCAGCUCGCGUUGAUUACUUCCCUGCCCUUUGUACACACCGCCCGUCGCUACUACCGAUUGAAUGGUUUAGUGAGGACUCCUGAUUGGCGCCGCCGCCCCGGCAACGGAGCAGCGGACUGCCGAAAAGUUGUUCAAACUUGAUCAUUUAGAGGAAGUAAAAGUCGUAACA